GGGGGUAUAGCUCAGCUGGGAGAGCACCUGCCUUGCACGCAGGGGGUCAAGGGUUCGAUUCCCUUUACCUCCACCA
rnacentral:tRNA from 4 species